rnacentral:lncRNA from 1 species
UAAGUAACUCCACAAUGAAGGAUCUCUUACCAAAUUCCUUUUGUAACAUUGUAUUAGUAGAAUAUUUAUGGGAAAAGAAGGCAAAUAGUAAAAUAAUUCUCUCUAGUUUCUACAAAAGCUGAACCAAAACUAUACAUACUGUCAACACAUUAAUCACUUGCAUCAAAGCUAAUUUGUUCUCCAAUUGAUAAUGUGGGGUUAAGGUAGGCAAACGUUUCACAAAGAAUGGUUAGGACUUAGGCUUUGACUGGCCAGGGUCCCGAGCCUAAGUCUCUUUGGUCUUAUUCGGGUGAGUUUGACUCGUCUGAGUCUGACCCGGGAAUUUU